rnacentral:rRNA from 1 species
UACGUAGGGGGCAAGCGUUGUCCGGAAUCAUUGGGCGUAAAGAGCGCGUAGGCGGCCCUGUAAGUCCGCUGUGAAAGUCAAGGGCUCAACCCUUGGAUGCCGGUGGAUACUGCAGGGCUAGAGUCCGGAAGAGGCGAGUGGAAUUCCUGGUGUAGCGGUGAAAUGCGCAGAUAUCAGGAGGAACACCGAUGGCGAAGGCAGCUCGCUGGGACGGUACUGACGCUGAGGCGCGAAAGCCAGGGGAGCAAACGGG